GGGCACUGUCUCAACGAGAGACUCGGUGAAAUCAUAGUACCUGUGAAGAUGCAGGUUACCCGCGACAGGACGGAAAGACCCCGUGGAGCUUUACUGUAGCCUGAUAUUGAAAUUCGGCACAGCUUGUACAGGAUAGGUAGGAGCCUUUGAAACGUGAGCGCUAGCUUACGUGGAGGCGCUGGUGGGAUACUACCCUAGCUGUGUUGGCUUUCUAACCCGCACCACUUAUCGUGGUGGGAGACAGUGUCAGGCGGGCAGUUUGACUGGGGCGGUCGCCUCCUAAAAGGUAACGGAGGCGCUCAAAGGUUCCCUCAGAAUGGUUGGAAAUCAUUCAUAGAGUGUAAAGGCAUAAGGGAGCUUGACUGCGAGACCUACAAGUCGAGCAGGGUCGAAAGACGGACUUAGUGAUCCGGUGGUUCCGCAUGGAAGGGCCAUCGCUCAACGGAUAAAAGCUACCCCGGGGAUAACAGGCUUAUCUCCCCCAAGAGUUCACAUCGACGGGGAGGUUUGGCACCUCGAUGUCGGCUCAUCGCAUCCUGGGGCUGUAGUCGGUCCCAAGGGUUGGGCUGUUCGCCCAUUAAAGCGGUACGCGAGCUGGGUUCAGAACGUCGUGAGACAGUUCGGUCCCUAUCCGUCGUGGGCGUAGGAAAUUUGAGAGGAGCUGUCCUUAGUACGAGAGGACCGGGAUGGACAUACCUCUGGUGUACCAGUUGUCGUGCCAACGGCAUAGCUGGGUAGCUAUGUGUGGACGGGAUAAGUGCUGAAAGCAUCUAAGCAUGAAGCCCCCCUCAAGAUGAGAUUUCCCAACUUCGGUUAUAAGAUCCCU
rnacentral:rRNA from 1 species